rnacentral:rRNA from 1 species
UACAGAGACCUCAAGCGUUAUCCGGAAUCAUUGGGCGUAAAGCGUACCGAUCGGUGGUAUAACAAGUCAGAUGUGAAAUCCCAAGGCUCAACUUUGGGACUGUCAUUUGAAACUGUUAUGCUCGAGGGGCAAAGAGGAAGCUGGAACGAACGGUGUAGUAGUGAAAUGCGUUGAUAUCGUUCGGAACACCAAUAGCGAAGGCAGGCUUCUGGGUGCCACCUGACACUGCUAGGACGAAAGCGUGGGGAGCGAAUGGG